UACGGAGGGGGCUAGCGUUGUUCGGAAUUACUGGGCGUAAAGCGCACGUAGGCGGAACAGAAAGUCAGAGGUGAAAUCCCAGGGCUCAACCUUGGAACUGCCUUUGAAACUCCUGUUCUUGAGGUCGAGAGAGGUGAGUGGAAUUCCGAGUGUAGAGGUGAAAUUCGUAGAUAUUCGAAGGAACACCGGUGGCGAAAGCGGCUCUCUGGCUCGUUUCUGACGCUGAGGUGCGAAAGCUAGGGGAGCAAACGGG
rnacentral:rRNA from 1 species